rnacentral:tRNA from 1 species
GUGCCUGUGGCUCAAAGGGGUAGGGCGCUGGCCCCAUAUGCCAGAAGUGGUGGGUUCAAACCCAGCCCUGGCCA